CACACAACACACACAACACAAUACACAACAUACACAACCACGCAAUACACACAAAACACACACAACACAACACAACAUACAUAACCACACCACACACAACACACAACCACACAACACUAUCACACAACACACACAAACACACACAACACACAACACACACAACACACACAAAACACAACACACACACAACAUACACAACCACACAACACACAACCACACAACAUACACGACCACACAACACAGUGCACACAAACAUAGCACACACAACACACAACCCAACACACAACCACACAAUACACCAUAUGGCGCGCACACACACACACACACACACACAGGCUGAGAGACAAGGUGGAGAUCCAGGGAGACCCCAGGGAGCAGUGCAGGUGUCCGUGGAUUCUGCUUUCAGUUAAACCCCUGAUCACUUCACCUCCCUGAGCCUCAGUUACCUUAUCUGAAUAUCGGGAUCAUGACGGAUAAUUGUAUGUCAUCUAUUCUACCGACGGCAGCCAGAGGACGCCUGUGAGCACCUGAGUCAGGGCCCAUCCCUGCUCUGCCUACAGCCCUCCAUGGCUCCCACCUUCCUAUGCGUCAAAGCCCAAGUCCUCCCUGCAGUCCACAAGGCCCUGCACACCUUGCCCUGUCCCUUCCCUGCCCUCCCCUCCUCCCUCUCUCCCCCUCGUUCACUCUUCUGGAGCCACACGGGCCAUCCUCCCUGUUCCUCCAACACCCAGGUGCAGUCCUGCCUUGGCGCCUUGGCACGGGCUGUGCCCUCUUCUCAAGAAAACCCUCUUCUUCCAAAUAUCCACACAGCUUGUUCUCUCUCCUCCUUUAAGUCUUUGCUCAAAUGUCACCAAUGUCUCAAUUUUACAAUGAGGUCUCUCUGAGUAACCUAUAAAGUCGCAAAUACCCACCCUGAGCGUCCCCCCUCCCCGCUACACACACUCCUCCUUCCUGCCAUGUCCUGCAAAUGAGAUUUAUUCAUUUGAUAAUUGCUUCUCCCAUCGCCUCGCCCUCUAUUGAACCUAAAUCCCUCCAGGAAGGAAUUGUUAUGUUUGUUGAGGGUUUUGUCACCUGAACUCAGCACAAUGCUGGUAUAUAGUUGGGUUUAAUAAAAAACUUACUGGAAGAAGCGAGAAGGAUGGGAGGAGAGAAGGGGAAGGAGGGUGUUCUCAUAGAAUUAUCAUGAGGAUGUGUUGAAAUCAUACAAGGCUAGGUGCAGUGGCUCACACUUGUAAUCCCAGCUGUUUGGGAGGCCAAGGCGGGAGGAUCGCUUGAGCCCAAGAGUCCAAGACCAGCCUGGGCAACACAGCCAGACCCUGUCUCUACAAAAAAGAAAAGUUAAAAACAAACAAAAAAA
ensembl:lncRNA novel transcript, sense intronic C3